AGCAAAUUAAAUUAGUAAGAAAGAAAGAAAGAUUCACGCGUAUGCUCUUUUGUCCUAGCUGUCUUCACUUGCAUUAGAAAUGAUCGCAACAAUUCCUCUUGAAAUUUAGCCUGGAAAAUGUACACUGCAUAGAUCUAAUAUUCCUUUAAGUUCAGGCACACGUGGCUCUGGAUUUUUAUAAUACUGGAUAUUCUGCAGCUUUUUCAUCUCAAGAGGAUUUCCAAGUCUCACAGUCUACAACUGAAACAUUCUUUUGAAAGUAUUAAUUUUUUUUCAUGGAAUAAGAGUAAAUUCUGUCAUGAUGAUGUCUCUGAAAUAUGAAUUUCAACAUGUUAACACUACAAGAAAAAAAAAAACCUGUGGAGCAGUUCUAUGUUGAAGUGGUCCUAAGUGUGUGAGUCAUCAAUAGAAUAUUCUUGUUCAGUGUUCUGGGAUAAAUGCUUUGUAAAAAGCAAUGCUAGGACUGUCUGCAUAUGCAGUACUCGUUAGCUACUGCUCUAAUGCAGACUUCUUCAGAGUCUCUGUAUGGGUUUUAGGCAGGCAGUCCAAUCAGCAAAUAACAACUCAGAGCAAAUUUCUGAAAGCAGUGAAGAAUUAAACAGCACUAUUUUCAGUGCUAUGACAAACGAAAGGCAUCAUUUUAG
rnacentral:lncRNA from 1 species